ACCUGGGUGGCUCAGUCGGUUAAGCAUCUGACUUCAGCUCAGGUCACGAUCUCACGGUCCGUGGGUUCGAGCCCCGCAUCGGGCU
rnacentral:tRNA from 1 species